CCACUGGCACUGAGACACUGGCCAGACACCUACGGGUGGCUGCAGUCGAGAAUCUUCGGCAAUGGGCGCAAGCCUGACCGAGCGACGCCGCGUGCGGGAUGAAGGUCUUCGGAUUGUAAACCGCUGUCGGAGGGGAUGAAGUGUAUGGGAGCAAUCUCCUGUAUUUGACAGAGCCUCGGAGGAAGCACGGGCUAAGUUCGUGCCAGCAGCCGCGGUAAUACGAACUGUGCAAACGUUAUUCGGAAUCACUGGGCUUAAAGGGUGCGUAGGCGGUCGCACAAGUCAGGUGUGAAAUCCCCCGGCUCAACCGGGGAAUAGCGCUUGAAACUAGGUGACUUGAGUGAGGUAAGGGUACGCGGAACUUCUGGUGGAGCGGUGAAAUGUGUAGAUAUCAGAAGGAACGCCGGUGGCGAAAGCGGCGUACUGGGCCUUGUCUGACGCUGAGGCACGAAAGCUAGGGAAGUGAACGGGAUUAGAUACCCCGGUAAUCCGUAGCCGUAAACACUGAG
rnacentral:rRNA from 1 species